AUUGAACGCUAGCGGGAUGCUUUACACAUGCAAGUCGAACGGCAGCGCGGACUUCGGUCUGGCGGCGAGUGGCGAACGGGUGAGUAAUGUAUCGGAACGUGCCCAGUAGCGGGGGAUAACUACGCGAAAGCGUAGCUAAUACCGCAUACGCCCUACGGGGGAAAGCAGGGGAUCGUAAGACCUUGCACUAUUGGAGCGGUCGAUAUCGGAUUAGCUAGUUGGUGAGGUAACGGCGCACCAAGGCGACGAUCCGUAGCUGGUUUGAGAGGACGACCAGCCACACUGGGACUGAGACACGGCCCAGACUCCUACGGGAGGCAGCAGUGGGGAAUUUUGGACAAUGGGGGCAACCCUGAUCCAGCCAUCCCGCGUGUGCGAUGAAGGCCUUCGGGUUGUAAAGCACUUUUGGCAGGAAAGAAACGUCGCGGGCUAAUACCCCGUGGAACUGACGGUACCUGCAGAAUAAGCACCGGCUAACUACGUG
rnacentral:rRNA from 1 species